UGAUGAUUGGAAUACCUUUUGAACAGGCAGAAAGGAUGAGCUGUGCAGGAAAAGUUACUCAAGGAAGGCCUUUACAAAACCGGUCAUUCCAUUGGUAGUUUUCCCCUCUAUUUGGGUUAGGGGUGUUCACCAGGUUAGGGUUUGGGUUAAGAAGACGAGGUGUCCUGGCAUGAUUUGGACGGUUGGAAUACCUUUUGAACGGGCAGAAAUGAUGAGCUGUGCAGGAAAAGUUACUGAAGGAAGGCCUGUACAUAAUCGGCCAUUCCAUUGGUAUUUUCCCCCUCUUUUAGGGUUAGGGGUGUUCGCCUGGGUAGGUGUAGGGUCAAUAAAACGAGGUUCCUGGUAUGAAUUUGACGAUUGAAAUGUGUUUACAAUGGGCAGAAAUGAAGAGCUGUGCAGAAAAAUCUACUCAAGCAGGGCUUUUUCAAAGAUGCCCCUUUUAAUGGAACUUUACUCCUCUAUUUUGAUUAGCGGUUUUCACCAGGCUAGGGUUAGGGUUAGGAAAACGAGGUGUCCUUGCAUGAUUUUGAUGGUUAGUAUACCUUUUCAACGGGGAGAAAUGAUCAGCUGUGCAGGAAAGGUUACUCAAGGAAGGCCUUUACAGAACCGGCCAUUCCAUUGGUAUUUUUCCCCUCUAUUCGGGUUAGGGGUGUUCACCAGGUUAGGGUUCGGGUUAAGAAAACGAGGUGUCCUGUAAUUACUUUGAUGAUUGGAAUGUAUUUAGAAUGGGCAGAAAUGAAGGGAAGUGCGGGAAAGAUUAGUCAAGGAAGGCCUUUACAAAAUCGACCAUUGCAUUGGUAUUUUACCCUUCUAUUAGGUUUAGGUGUGUUCACCAGGUUAGGGUUAGGAAAAUGAGGUGUCCUGGCGUGAUUUUGAUGGUUGGAAUGGAUUUAGAAUGGGCAGAAAUGAUGAGCUGUGCAGAAACAUCUACUCAAGGAGGGCUUUUUCAAAGUCGCCCCUUUUAAUGGAACUUUACUCCUCUAUUUUGAUUAGUGCUUUUCUCCAGGCUAGGGUUAGGGUUAGGAAAAUGAGGUGUCCUGGCAUGAUUUUGAUGGUUGGAAUGUCUUUAGAAUGGGCAGAAAUGAUGAGCUGUGCAGGAAAAGUUAGUCAAGGAAGGCCUUUACAAAAUCGGCCGUUACAUUGGUAUUUUUCCUCUCUUACUGGGUUUGUGGUGUGCACCAGGUUAGGGUUAGGAAAACGACGUGUCUGGGGAUCAUUUUGAUGCUUGGAAUGUGUUUAGAUUCGGCAGAAAUGAUGAGGUGUGCAGAAAGGGUUAUUCUAGGAGGGCUUUUUCAUAAUCACCCCUUUUAAUGGAACUUUACUCCUCUGUUAGGGUUUGGGGUGUUCACUAUGGUAGGAUUAGGGUUUGGAAAUCAAGGUAUCCCAGGCUUGGGAAAUCGAGGUAUCCUCCCCUUUCCUCCCGCCUAGGCCUCAGUGGCUCAUCGCAGAUCGGUGCGCUCAUCCACAAUUGCAUUGCGCAUGAGCGAGGUGCUGGUGCAGACCGACCUUGCACUGAGCAUCAGCACUAGCAGGCCGGAGGUCUGGCUGAUGCGGCUGCGUGGUAUCCUCUGCUGGACAGAGAAGUGGAGGAGGGGACAGCUGCUGGGCAUCUCUGCCCUCUUCUCCUGUGCCGGCAUGCUCUGACCCCAUCACCGUCACACCCCCUCCCCAGUUCUCCUGCAAGGGCUGCUCCCCACACUUUCCCCCGUCCCCCAGAUUCAUGCCACAAACCAGUCCAACCCCCUGAAAUGAAGGCGCCCCUCCUGCCACCCAGUGCCAGCCUCAGCGCUGGCUGGGAGAAAAAGUUAGCACACUGCAUUCACGUAACCUGCACUUAUCUGCCACAUCCAGUCAGCACUGCGACCCCCAAGCAAGGACUGCACAUUUCAAGUGGCGGCCACCUCGGCCCCUCCUGUUCCACGGCCUUGGCGGGGGCAGAGACAGAGGCGCCCUCAGCCAAGCAGCCCGGAGCAGCUUGGCACUGCAGGGAUGUGGCCAGUGGGAUGAGGCCCACGGGCUGGUACCUGCUUCCGGAGCAGAGGGGGGAUGCCCUGCCCAGGCCGGGGGCCCGUGCGCAGCGUGCAGUGGGCCGCCUGGAAGCGGCCUUCCUCGCCCAUCUGCAGUGUCCUCUUCGCUGGCCUUGCCUUAGCAAGCAGGCCAGGGCAAGCGGAGUCUGCAAAUGCCCACAGAACAACAGCUGCACAGCCGGGAAGGAUGGUGCUCCUUACACGGCAUUUGCACGCACAUGGAUUCCCAGUGAGCAUUGCACACAUGCUCAGCACGCUCAGCCGAGGAAGCAGGCUAGAGUCCCAUGAGUGCAGCCCCAGAAAGGUCCCGGACGGAUUCCUUGCCCAUCCCUACCCAUCCGCUUCCACCUGCGAGUCUGAGGGCUGGAGCAAGGAGGAGCAUCUGCGUGUGCCACAGGCUGACCACAGUUGUCGCCCGCCACUUUUGGUAUUUCAGGGAAAUGAACAAGCGGUUAACAGAUGAGCAAGCUCGGAAGACAUUUGAGAGAGCCAUGAAGCUGGAACAAGAAUUCACCGAGCAUUUUACAGCCAUCGUGCAAGGCGACACGCUGGAAGAGGUUUACAAUCAGGUCAAGCAAGUGAUCGAGGAGCGCUCCAGCCCCUGCAUCUGGGUCCCAGCCAAGGAAAAGCUGUGAAGGCGGCCCGGCUCGCCUGCGCUGGGCAUUGGAUGGACUCUGUCCCCCGUUGGGCUUCCCUCCUCUUGGCAGCUCCUCCUGGAAGUGCAGCGCUGGGCCGCACCGCCGGGUGGCGCCUCGCACUCGAAGCCCCUGCUGCACUUCCGCCGCCUUGAUCUCGCCAAGUGCUCCGACCAGCAGGUUCCUUGGGCACUGGGGACUGGGGGCAGUGGCUAGUUCUGCCCGAGGGGGCACAACGUGGGAAUUUUGUGGUAACCUCCUUAAUGUUUAAGGGAAAGCAUCGUUCGGAGAUUUUGAGAAAACAGAGCUUUAUAUAUGUCAAUGUAAAGGUUUCCUAACAUGAAAAAAAAGUGGUCUUAAUGACGUCAAUGUGAGCAAUUUUGCACGCUUAACUUUACUAGCAUGGUUUGAUUCAAGGGGAUUCGGUUCAUGAUUUAGUUUCAUAGUUUUCUGUUGUUGCCAGCAAAUAUAUUUUACAUGCAGUUCGAUAAGAAACUUUUUCAAAUGUCCAAGAUAAUAUAUGCUUAACUGGCAUUGUUUCACAAGGGAAAACUCAUUUUCAUAAUUUCAUAUAAAUACCCUUUGUAGCCUAUUUUUUCAUUUUUUGCUGAUGCCAUUAUACUAGAGAGGAAAAUAUCUCCUAUUUUUAAACUGGCACAUAAAAGACUAUUUGGAAUGUCUUACAGAUAUUGUUGAUAGAGAACAGUUACUGCAUUUUGACUCCAAAUACCAUUUGGGUGCUUUAAAAGUUUGUACUUCAUCUACCAAUGAUGGCUUUUGUUCUGAAAAUAUUCUGAAAGAUUGUUAUCACUAUUAAGGUCGUAAAAGUCUGAAAGUAUAAAUAUGUUCUUAGAAGUCAGAUUUUAAUGAAUAUUUUACCCACAAUAACUGCCUAUUUUGUUAUAAUAAAGCAUAUUAUAUACAUAUAUAUAUAUAUAUAUAUUAAACUUUCUUUAACUAAAA